rnacentral:sRNA from 1 species
GUCGAGAGCUCCCCCGCCUGCCCAGCCUUAUGUCUACGAGCGGCUACUCUGGCAACUGUUCGGGCGAUACAGGGGAGAAACCGACGUGGGCACCCGGCUCCAAGACGAUCGGCAAUGAUCUAGGCUCUCACGGUGGCCCACGUCGGCUCUCGACACCCA